GAUGAAUGCUGGCGGCGUGCCUAAUACAUGCAAGUCGAGCGAACGGACGAGAAGCUUGCUUUUCUGAUGUUAGCGGCGGACGGGUGAGUAACACGUGGAUAACCUACCUAUAAGACUGGGAUAACUUCGGGAAACCGGAGCUAAUACCGGAUAAUAUUUUGAACCGCAUGGUUCAAAAGUGAAAGACGGUCUUGCUGUCACUUAUAGAUGGAUCCGUGCUGCAUUAGCUAGUUGGUAAGGUAACGGCUUACCAAGGCAACGAUGCAUAGCCGACCUGAGAGGGUGAUCGGCCACACUGGAACUGAGACACGGUCCAGACUCCUACGGGAGGCAGCAGUAGGGAAUCUUCCGCAAUGGGCGAAAGCCUGACGGAGCAACGCCGCGUGAGUGAUGAAGGUCUUCGGAUCGUAAAACUCUGUUAUUAGGGAAGAACAUAUGUGUAAGUAACUGUGCACAUCUUGACGGUACCUAAUCAGAAAGCCACGGCUAACUACGUG
rnacentral:rRNA from 1 species